CGUAGGGGGCGAGCGUUGUCCGGAAUUAUUGGGCGUAAAGAGCUCGUAGGCGGUUCGGCAAGUCACGUGUGAAAUCUCCACGCUCAACGUGGAGGCGCCACGUGAGACCGCUGUGACUCGAGUCCGGUAGGGGAGCGUGGAAUUCCCGGUGUAGCGGUGAAAUGCGCAGAGAUCGGGAGGAACACCCGUAGCGAAGGCGGCGCUCUGGGCCGGUACUGACGCUGAGGAGCGAAAGCGUGGGGAGCAAACAGGAUUAGAUACCCUGGUAGUCCACGCCGUAAACGUUGGGCACUAGGUGUGGGGCUCUAUCGACGGGCUCCGUGCCGUAGCUAACGCAUUAAGUGCCCCGCCUGGGGAGUACGGCCGCAAGGCUA
rnacentral:rRNA from 1 species